rnacentral:rRNA from 1 species
UACGUAGGUGGCAAGCGUUGUCCGGAUUUACUGGGCGUAAAGAGCGCGCAGGCGGUCGUUCAAGUCGGCGUGUGAAAGCCCCCGGCUCAACUGGGGAGGGUCACGCGAUACUGAUCGACUCGAAGGCAGGAGAGGGAAGUGGAAUUCCCGGUGUAGUGGUGAAAUGCGUAGAUAUCGUCAAGAACACCGAUAGUGAAGACAGCUAACUAAGCUUAACUGACGCUGAGGCACGAAAGUGUGGGGAUCAAAGCAGG